UACGUAGGGUGCGAGCGUUACUCGGAAUUACUGGGCGUAAAGCGUGCGCAGGCGGUUCGUUAAGUCAGCUGUGAAAGCCCCGGGCUUAACCUGGGAAUUGCGGUUGAAACUGGCGAACUAGAAUCUGGCAGAGGGGGGUGGAAUUCCACGUGUAGCAGUGAAAUGCGUAGAGAUGUGGAGGAACACCGAUGGCGAAGGCAGCCCCCUGGGCUGAGAUUGACGCUCAGGCACGAAAGCGUGGGGAGCAAACAGG
rnacentral:rRNA from 1 species